CCACUUUUUCUGGAGAUCAUUCCUUGUGGAGUUUUACUGCAAGCAUUUAACACUGAUGUCUUGGGAUUCUUCUACCCAAAAGUCACUAACAUCACUGUAUUGGGGAAAGAAUGGACUUUUCUAGCUUACCCUGGUGCAUUCCAUCUAUGGAUUUAGACUAUUCUUCACAUCAUUUGCAUGAAGAUGCUUACAGCUCUCCCCAGACAGAGCGGAUUACAAAUGUGUUGCUGAAGCCAUAGCAUGGGGAACAAAGGCAAACUCGGAGGAUUCUGCUAUGAUGGGAUUCAGCUCAAUGUUCUUUCUGUGCCCAAAAACUGUGAAAAUCUUAACGAGUCCAACCUGAGCUUGACAGUGUAUAAAGAAGCAGAUGUAAACAAGUCUUCAGCACACACUGCUCGAGUAGGUGAUGCGGCCGUUGGCAGCUCGGUGCAGAGGAAACGACGAUCUCCAGCACCCCCUGCAGCAUCCUCGCCAAAAGACAGGCUCCGAGCCCACUCCAGGAUGAAAGAACUGAAAACAUUUCAGCAAAGUCAGUACCACCCAUCCCAGUGGGAAAUGCCAUCAAAGAGUCCCUUUUCACCAGUGCUACGCUGCUGAACGCAGCUCAGGAAAUAAAGAAAUGUGGCCGAAUUCAGGACCUGCACCCACUGACACCACUGGUAAUUGGCCCUUUGCUCCUCUGAGUAGUGUGAUGGAGCUGUAAUGGAAAUCUCUGCCUGCUGUGGAAGUGUUGAUCUGUUAAUCACUGAGCGCGUGCCGGCCCCAGCUGUUAGCUGAUUCUGCGGACAAUUUUUGCUUGGCUUAUGGAUCACUGCUGCAUGUGCAACACAGAGCAUUAUAUUCAGGCAGAAAGAAAAUAAUGAAUUCAGCACUGAGAAGUAAGAAACUAAACUGUUUAGAUAACCUUAGGCUUUUUCUGCUAAGAAAAUCAAUACAGCUAGAAGCUUAGAAACUACUGACAUUGCAAGCAGAGUCCAGCUACAGAGCCAUGGAAAGCCCAAUAUAAAUGACCAAACCAGUUUACUUUCCAUAUUUUGGCUUGUAUUACUUUGCUGGUUUUCGUUUUUUUUUUCAAAUUCACAAAAUUCCUACAUAGUUUGCACAUCUCUUAAGAUAUCUUUGUCUGCAAGGCUUAAUUCUUUCUAAUCCAAAAUAUAAUUUCACAGUCUGACAUAUUCUCUUUUGUUGCUAUGUUUUUAGUCUAGAGAAACCUGACAUGGAAAUACUGUGCUAGCUCACAAUUUCCAUUAUAGGUAGUUUACUCUCUGUAUUCUAUUCACACGUUGAUAUUCUUGCUGUGAUGGCCAACAUGGGUGCUAAUUAGCAACUACGCUCCUCCUGGCAGGUUGUGUGGACACCCAUCAAGCAGCACCUGACUUGAAUUUAAUUAACAUCACCAUUUAACUGCUUUAGUAUUUGUUUUGUAGUAAUACCAAGAGGCCUCAGCUGGCGUUUGGAGCUGAAGGCACGGAAGAGAGAGAGGCAAUGAUAAAUUGCUAUAGGGCGCUGAGAGGACUAAUAGACCACAGUGACUCUGACCAGCCACACCUGGGCCCAAUGGGUGUAUUUAAGUUCAGGCCAGGGAGCUGACCUUUUUCCCCAUCUGUCUUGUGAGUUUGUUUGGUCUUAGCCCUGCUUCUGAUUUUGUUUUCAGAGUGGACUUGGUUGUAUCUUGUCAAUGGCUUCUUUCUAGCCCAGUCUCAUGGAUGUACCUUGGACUCCUGCUUUUGCCAUGCCCCUGGUACUACCUGGUUUUGCUCCUAUGUGUGUUCCUUAGAUGGCUCGGACUUCAUCUGUCACCUUGUGUUACAUGGAGCUGUGGAGUUUCUUAGCACGUAGUUUGCUUUCUCUUAUGGAAAGCCUGACUCCUGUUGCUCAUUUGACAUAAGGGCAGAGCUGCCUACACCAGAGGAAUUUCCACCAAAGAGAGAGCAAGGAAUAAAGAUAAUCCUUGCUGUCUGCAGUGAGGAAGAGAUGUAUUCAGCAGUAUUCAUCCCAGAAGAUGAACGGAAGGAAAUCAUGGAACUACCUGUGGCUUUCUCACCUCUCGGGUAAGAAUUCAAGGAGAGAAAAGAUUGUGUACAGCCACUUAGCAGUCAGAUGAGAUAUAGUCAGGUCAUGGAGCUAAGGACAGCAGUACUUGCUAUGCACCAAUCUCUGAUUGUUAUCUCAUGACUUUUACUUAAAACCACAUUUGUCUUCUCCUGGGCUUGAGCCAAAAUUGGAGUACAGGCCCUUUCAUGAGUGUGUCUCAGACAAGAGCUCUAGAAGAACUUGAUGUAGGAGUCCCUUUUUGGGUAUAUCCAGAGGUGUCAGAGUGCUAACAGGAGUUGUGCUGAGCUCACUCCUGAUUUUGCCUGGCCUGAGAAGCAAGGCAUGUGCUCCUUGUUUUUAGUCAUUGCUACCUGCUGUGAGGCUGUACCACUGAGCAGUGCAGAUAUGCCCUUAAGUGUGUGAUGACAUUCAGAAAUAAUUCUCGUUAAAGGAGGAGGAAAAACACCAGAGAAAGAGAGUUCUUUUUAAGUAAAUAACAAAGGGCACUAAUCUUUGGAGGCAGUUUCUUCCCUGCAUGUUUUGAAGCUUACGCUGCAGAAAGAUGAUGCCAAUUGCUGCAAAGUGCUCCUUUUAUUUUAUUUUAUUUUUUUUUAUCUUGGGAAGGGUCUGAAGACAGAAGUGCUCAGUAGAAGUAUCUUCAGGCCCUGAAGAGUCAGGAAGCAGUGAGAUCACUUCUCUUUGCAUAUUUUAUAUGUCAAAUGGCUACCAGUCUCUGUCAGCCUUACAAACUAUCAGAGCCUGCAGCAGACAGCAUGCCUCAGCCAUAAGAAGAGCCAGCUGGGCUGCCCCAUCAGGCAGUGCUGCUGAGCCAACUCCAUCCCCUAGCACUAACAGCAGGUUGGAGGGAACCAAGCUUGCACCCUUGUGACAAAGUGCAGAGGAGGGAAUUCAAAUCCCUCCUGGGACUUUAUCGUGUUCCUCUUGCUAUGCUGCCAGCCUGGAGCCUUCACGAGCUGUGAGAGCCCAGGUGGAAACACUGUGUGAAAUAGCUCAGUAUGCUGCAGUGAAUAAUACUUUAGGAGAGCCUUAGGAUUCCCCAUAGGGGCUGUGGAUGUACAUACUGAGAUGCUGGAUGACAAUAUAAUCUAUAAAGCUCUCAUGUUCACAGAGGCGUUUCUCUGUAAAGAAUGAGGCUAUGCUAAACAGUGGGAGAUUAAUCAUACCUCUUUCCCUUUCUUCCCACUUAUAACGUGGGUCAUUAGGUCUCAGGAAGAUGUUAAUUCUGCAUUUUACGUGUGUAGAUAGAUAGAAAAAAUAGAUGAAAGUUUCACCUGGCUGGUGACUGGGUCACAUUAAGAUCUGUAUCAAAAUCAACACUCAUUGGUCCAAAACAACAAAGAAACAAUGAUUCUUCUUGGGAGAGGGGGAUAUUUGUCAGGUUAGGAGGGAUUUUAUGAAGGGAUUAUCUUGUCAGCUGUGCACACAACUCUUGCUUCUUUCCAUGGGAGCUACACAUGUGAAUAACAGACGGAAAGCUGGUGCUCCUAAACAUCUUUCUCGUUUCAGUGAUCUAAAUACAGCUUAGAUCAUCUCAGCUUUGUUCUGGGUUGUUUCUUUCAAGGAGGAUUUCUUUCACAGGAGCUGUAGGGUGAGAAUUUAGAAUGAAGUAGUCAAAACUGAACUGAUUAUUUCUGAAAUACUGUCUUGCUCCAAUGCAAAUCCCCCAGGCAGGCCUGCAUUUACUUCAAUAUGAGCCUGUUCUGUGUCUGGUGUUAUUUAUUUGAACCCGUCAGGUCUGGGCGUUCACAUCCAGAGCAACAAGUUGCAGUUCACCCCCCUUCCUUUCUUUAUCAGAUUUUGGUUUAUUGUUCUUUGUCUUUUUCUGACAUGCUGCUGAGAAGUAUGUUGUUGUUGAGCUGAGGUUAACAGUGGUUAACUGAAUUCUGCUCAUGUUUCAAGUGACAUUCAUCUGUGUGGAGGACAGAGCCACCAAUACAAGAGUUCAGUGAUCAGAUAAGCUGAGCAGAAAUCAGAAAGGGGAAGGGAGAAGAUCCAACAAAGUGUUUGAACUGAGAUAACGUUUAGAGACUGGAAAUUUACAAUUGAGGGGGAAAAAAACUAGGGGAAAUUUAAGUUAAAAUAGUCUUCUAUUUCAUAUCUAUCACAUUUUAAAAAACACUUGAAUAUUUUAUUAAUUUGGAUAUUGUCUUGUGUUAUCAAUGUGUACAAUUUAGAACUGGAUCUGAAUUUAAAAUCUUCAGAAGUAGCUUAUAAAGACUGAAAGCUUGGAAAGCCUUGUUGCAAAAGUAGUCAAUUAGAUUAUUUCCUUCCAACAGUUUGCAAGAAUGGGCACAAAACUUUACUUUUUCUCUGCAGAUUAAACUGGAAGCUCCAUUAAUCUGCUUCACUUCAUGCCUAUUAGGAAGAUGGUUCCACUGGUAACUGCUUCCACUGAGGGUUAAGAGACUGUUAAACUCUUUGGCUUUUCUAUGACAAAUGUUAUUGAAGUGUAUUGCAAGCUAUUUUCAAAUUUUAAAACAGAUUGUGCCUGGAAUUAUAGUCUUUUAUACCAACUUUCAGCUUAGACUAAACUUUUAUAGUCAGGGUAUAAACUUCUGAAUGCUUGUAAUAGAAAACUUGGCUGACUGUGGGGUCACGAAGAGUGGUGGUGCAAUACAGCUCUCAGCCUGGAUAUACACCUCAUCACAGUCCACUAUAAGGAGUAAAUAUUACAAUGACUGUUCUUCCUCAUGUGCAGCUGUGUAAAACCAGAACAUAAUAGUCUUGAUAUGUAAAUGAUAUUUUUCUUAAUGGGAGAGCAGGGAUAGCUCACAUCUUGCACAAGUUUUCUUACAAGCAUAGCCUUUGUCACAGCUACACUUCUUAAUCCCAAGCACUUCAGAAACAGAACACUGGAAAUACAUCUUCUGGCUAACAUGUGAAAUUAGAGGGCAGAAGAACAGGGAAAUCAAAGUUUGAGCUCUCUUGAGAUAGGCAAAGCUCCGGGGUCUCUGAAAGUUGAUGGGAAUGGAUCAGUGUAUUAAAGACUGGAGGAAGGACAUUUAUCAUGGAUGGUAUGGGGUUACAGAGGUUGGAAAGACAGCCUGCAGGACUCUGGUGCAACCUUUGUGUUCAAAGUAGGGCUAGCAGGAGGGAAAAAAAUCUCGUUCUAUUAUGUGGCCAUUCAAAUAAAUGCUACUUCUGCUGAACUGCAAGAUGUAGCAGUGCUUGCUCAGCAUCCAGAUUGAGUUUGAUGGACAGCAAGUAACUCUAAUAUCACCUCAGUACAAUUUUUUUCCCUAGAUCACAGUAUAAAGUGCAUGUAGCAGA